rnacentral:rRNA from 1 species
GACGAACGCUGGCGGUGUGCCUAAUACAUGCAAGUCGUACGCAUUGAUAAUGGAACUUGUUCCAUUUGACGUGAGUGGCGCACGGGUGAGUAACACGUGGGAAACCUACCCUUCAGCGGGGGAUAACCGUCGGAAACGAUGGCUAAUACCGCAUAGGUCUUUGAGUCACCUGACUUAAAGAGGAAAGACGGCUUCGGCUGUCACCGAAGGAUGGUCCCGCGGUGCAUUAGCUAGUUGGUGAGGUAAUGGCUCACCAAGGCGAUGAUACGUAGCCGACCUGAGAGGGUGAACGGCCACACUGGGACUGAGACACGGCCCAG